rnacentral:sRNA from 1 species
CGUUUUCUCUUUUUUUUUUUUUUUUUUUUCCUUACU